rnacentral:lncRNA from 1 species
UGAUCAAGAUGAACUAGAUUUGAAUCAAGGAAGAUUAAGCCUCCCUAAUCAAUGCUAACUUAUCAACCUUUAACUCAUUGAUCAAAAAGAAAAAAGAAGAAGAAGAAGAAGAGAGAUGAAUAAUGGAAAGGGAAAUGGAAAGAAUAAAGUGCAUAAGGUGAAAUAAAAUGUACCAAUUCAUGUGUAUUGACCAAAUGAAAUUGAAAGUCAAAGUCAAACAAUGAGAAAUCAAAAAUGAGAUGAAGAUUGGAGGUCAAACCAUAAGCAAAAUAUUUUUGGCAUUUUCA